rnacentral:tRNA from 1 species
GGGGGUAUAGCUCAAUUGGGAGAGCAGCAGACUGAAGACAUUGUCAGUUGAAUUCUGAAGGUCCCGCGUUCGAUCCGCGGUACCCCCA